rnacentral:rRNA from 1 species
AGUGAACGCUGGCGGUAGGCCUAACACAUGCAAGUCGAACGGCAGCACAGGAGAGCUUGCUCUCUGGGUGGCGAGUGGCGGACGGGUGAGGAAUACAUCGGAAUCUACUCUGUCGUGGGGGAUAACGUAGGGAAACUUACGCUAAUACCGCAUACGACCUACGGGUGAAAGCAGGGGAUCUUCGGACCUUGCGCGAUUGAAUGAGCCGAUGUCGGAUUAGCUAGUUGGCGGGGUAAAGGCCCACCAAGGCGACGAUCCGUAGCUGGUCUGAGAGGAUGAUCAGCCACACUGGAACUGAGACACGGUCCAGACUCCUACGGGAGGCAGCAGUGGGAAUAUUGGACAAUGGGCGCAAGCCUGAUCCAGCCAUACCGCGUGGUGAAGAAGGCCUUCGGGUUGUAAAGCCCUUUUGUUGGGAAAGAAAUCCAGCUGGCUAAUACCCGGUUGGGAUGACGGUACCCAAAGAAUAAGCACCGGCUAACUUCGUGCCAGCCGCCGCUGUAA